rnacentral:rRNA from 1 species
CGGACGGGUGAGUAACGCGUGGAUAACCUGCCUCACACUGGGGGAUAACAGUUAGAAAUGGCUGCUAAUACCGCAUAAGCGCACAGUACCGCAUGGUACGGUGUGAAAAACCCAGGUGGUGUGAGAUGGAUCCGCGUCUGAUUAGCCAGUUGGCGGGUAACGGCCCACCAAGCGACGAUCAGUAGCCGACCUGAGAGGGUGACCGGCCACAUUGGGACUGAGACACGGCCCAA